rnacentral:tRNA from 1 species
UUCCUGGAAGACUAGUGGUUAGGCCUCGGCGCUCUCACCGCCACACCCCGGGUUCGAUUCCCAGACAGGGAA